rnacentral:rRNA from 1 species
AGGAUCAUUAAAUAUACCUGAGAUGCCUUUAAGGCUCUCUGAGNNNACCCAUAUUAAACACUUAUACAAACUCAUAGUCUGAGAAGGGUNUUUGCCGUAAUUAUAUAAUAUGUUAAAACUUUCAACAACGGAUCUCUUGGCUCUCGCAUCGAUGAAGAACGCAGCGAAAUGCGAUAAGUAAUGUGAAUUGCAGAAUUCAGUGAAUCAUCGAAUCUUUGAACGCACAUUGCGCCCUUUGGUAUUCCUUAGGGCAUGCCUGUUCGAGCGUCACUAAACUAGACCCCUCACGUUUGACGUGGUAUUGAUCGAAGUAGGGCAGAAAUUGCUUUACUCCUUCNAAAUUGAAAGGCCGGAAAAGUGAUCUUGGUGACAGACUUGCAGAGUGUUGUGAAAACCUAAAUUAGUCUUCAGUCAGGUCAGGUCCGAGCUUCUGGAUCCCC